UGGGGAAUAUUGGACAAUGGGCGCAAGCCUGAUCCAGCAAUGCCGCGUGUGUGAAGAAGGCCUUCGGGUUGUAAAGCACUUUUAUCAGGAGCGAAACGCUGUCGGCUAAUACCCGGCGGAACUGACGGUACCUGAGGAAUAAGCACCGGCUAACUUCGUGCCAGCAGCCGCGGUAAUACGAAGGGUGCAAGCGUUAAUCGGAAUUACUGGGCGUAAAGCGUGCGUAGGCGGUUUCUUAAGUCUGCUGUGAAAUCCCCGGGCUCAACCUGGGAAUGGCAGUGGAUACUGGGAGGCUAGAGUGUGUCAGAGGGUGGUGGAAUUCCCGGUGUAGCGGUGAAAUGCGUAGAGAUCGGGAGGAACAUCAGUGGCGAAGGCGGCCACCUGGGACAACACUGACGCUGAGGCACGAAAGCGUGGGGAGCAAACAGGAUUAGAUACCCUGGUAGUCCACGCCCUAAACGAUGCGAACUGGAUGUUGGUCUCAACUCGGAGAUCAGUGUCGAAGCUAACGCGUUAAGUUCGCCGCCUGGGGAGUACGGUCGCAAGACUGAAACUC
rnacentral:rRNA from 1 species